rnacentral:rRNA from 1 species
CUUGGAAGCUAAGCAGGGUUGGGCCUGGUUAGUACUUAGAUAGGAGACCACCUAGGAAGACCAGGUGCUGUAGGCG